GGGGAAUUUUCCGCAAUGGGCGCAAGCCUGACGGAGCAAUACCGCGUGAGGGAGGAAGGCUUUUGGGUUGUAAACCUCUUUUCUCAAGGAAGAAGAUCUGACGGUACUUGAGGAAUCAGCAUCGGCUAACUCCGUGCCAGCAGCCGCGGUAAUACGGAGGAUGCAAGCGUUAUCCGGAAUUAUUGGGCGUAAAGCGUCCGCAGGUGGUACAUCAAGUCUGCUGUCAAAGACUAGGGCUUAACCCUGGAAAGGCAGUGGAAACUGAUGAACUAGAGUACGGUAGGGGUAGAGGGAAUUCCCAGUGUAGCGGUGAAAUGCGUAGAGAUUGGGAAGAACACCAGUGGCGAAGGCGCUCUACUGGACCUGUACUGACACUCAGGGACGAAAGCUAGGGGAGCGAAAGGGAUUAGAUACCCCUGUAGUC
rnacentral:rRNA from 1 species